UACGUAGGGCGCAAGCGUUAUCCGGAAUUAUUGGGCGUAAAGAGCUCGUAGGCGGUUUGUCGCGUCUGCCGUGAAAGUCCGAGGCUCAACCUCGGACUUGCAGUGGGUACGGGCAGACUAGAGUGUGGUAGGGGGAGACUGGAAUUCCUGGUGUAGCGGUGAAAUGCGCAGAUAUCAGGAGGAACACCGGUGGCGAAGGCGGGUCUCUGGGCAGUAACUGACGUGAG
rnacentral:rRNA from 1 species